AGUUCUUUCUUUACACAAAUUUAGAGCCAUACAUAUGAAUGGGAACUUAUACACGUUUCUGUUCCAAAAUCAUGAUUAGGAAUAGGUAUGAUAUUUAAUUACAAAUUGCAAAACCAAGUUUUGACCAAAAGAAAAUGUCAUGCAACUUGAAUCCAUCCAACUAGAGAGAGUGUGUUGAACCAGGACCAUAGCUUUCAUUGAAUUAAAUUCAUGCUAAGUGUGCAAGUCACUUUAUCGUCAUCCUCCUCGCGCUCGCACCAAGACGACUUGUGCAUAACCUGUAAGAAAAACAAAGGACAUAUUCAGUAAAAAUCCUACAUUUUCAUGAUAAGUAGUAUACAUAGCCAUUUGGACUGUCAACCAAAGUCAAAAGAAAAGGAGUAAAUACCAGCUUAUAUCAAAACUCAUUUGAAACAACAAAGAGAUAUUGAAAAGUUGAAAAUCGUUUGUUAAUGCUAAUGGGGACCACCCAAGCUUGACAGAUAUGAAGACCUCACUACAGACAAAAAUAAACCAAUUCAAUCCUAACAGAUUGGCAAGAUUCACCAAAUCGCAGGGAGAUGAAAAUCUAACAGAAUGAUCCUAUAAUCCCUGCCAGCUCCUAAUCGAAA
rnacentral:lncRNA from 1 species